rnacentral:rRNA from 1 species
GACGAACGCUGGCGGCGUGCCUAAUACAUGCAAGUAGAACGCUGAAGGAGGAGCUUACUUCUCUGGAUGAGUUGCGAACGGGUGAGUAACGCGUAGGUAACCUGCCUGGUAGCGGGGGAUAACUAUUGGAAACGAUAGCUAAUACCGCAUAAGAGUAGAUGUUGCAUGACAUUUACUUAAAAGGUGCAAUUGCACCACUACCAGAUGGACAUGAGUUGUAUUAGAUAGUGGGGGGGGUAACGGCUUACCAAGGCGACGAUACAUAGCCGACCUGAGAGGGUGAUCGGCCACACUGGGACUGAGACACGGCCCAGACUCCUACGGGAGGCAGCAGUAGGGAAUCUUCGGCAAUGGACGGAAGUCUGACCGAGCAACGCCGCGUGAGUGAAGAAGGUUUUCGGAUCGUAAAGUUCUGUUGUAAGAGAAGAACGAGUGUGAGAGUGGAAAGUUCACACUGUGACGGUAUCUUACCAGAAAGGGACGGCUAACUACGUGCCAGCCGCCGCCGUAA